GGCUGCAAUGCCACACUCAGGCACCUAAAUAAAUGGCCUGACCUUUCUCAAAUGCUGAAUACCAAGAACUUCUCACUCGAAUCUGCCGAAGCCGUGGCUGUUCAGCUCCUCUGAAAAUCAAUCCACUCGUUUAGAUGCCUGAAUAUGAAUGUUAGUGCCAGACUUUGGACAGUGACAUAGGAAGAUAUUGGCCUGAGCCUACGCAUGGACUCUCAUCCUACAAUCCAGCCCCUCAACAGAUACAUCCCAGCUUCUGACUGUGAGCCAUUCAGCUACAAUGGGGAGGCCUAGAUGCUAGCCCCACAUGAGAGAGGGAAGGAUUUCAGGCCCAAGGCCCAAGUGGGGCAGGAAGAAGCACACGCUCACCUCAGUUGCCUUCUUUGCUGAGGGCGCACUGUCCAGCACGCCGGCAGACAGACCCAGAUCAGAAGGCCUG